UUCUGAUACACUGAGCAGCCUUUCUCCGCUCUGCUCAGCCGUUCAGAUCCACUAGAGGGCAGCGUUACCAGGUUCUGAGCUCUGCUGUGGUUCUGUGUUCAAGCACUCUGUCGCUCCACAGACCAGGUCCCAUCAGGUGUUCUUGUCUCCCAGGCAGAACAAAUGAGAAACGUUUAUCCGGUUGUUGAACAGCUGCAGCGUUCCCUCCAGAUCCCGGUCUGAAUCAUUCCGACUGGUUCUAGCAUGACACAGUCUGAGUUUGGACUGGUUUUAAUGGGACGGCCCGUCACCAGGCUCAGUGAGGGGAGGAGCUCCACUCUGACAGACUUUGUGUUGGAGCUGAAGAGCUGCUGCGUUCUCUCUGUUCUUCUGUCAGUACCAGGGAAAACAAUGCAGCUGCUGCUUUUCUCCUGCAUGAUGAUGAUCUUCUGCCUUCAGCCAGGAUCCUCUGAGGAUUUACUGACACCAUUUAAAGACGAUCAACUGGAUUUGGAAGGAAACGACGUGACUCUGUCCUGCAACUAUUCAGGAACAGUAACCCUGCUGCUGUGGUACCGACAGACGCCCAGUUCAUCUCCACAGCUGGUCACCUCAGGAUAUUCAGACACAACAGGAAGGCUUUCUUUGAGACACGAGAAAACAAGAAAGACGUUUCAUCUGCUGAUCUCCUCUGCUGCAGUGACAGACUCUGCUGUGUACUACUGCACUGUGACGCCCACAGUGACAGGAAACACCAGAACCCUGUACAAAAAUCUGCAGUACUCCACAGCAGCCACUAGAGGGCCUCACUCCCUGUUAAUCUACUGGCUGUUGAGUGUUUGGACUGAAGACAAAGACAACAGUGACAUCAUGCUGCGACUGAAAUAAUCCAAGAAGUCUGCAGACAUGUGUAACGCCUGACAUUCUGCUUCCCAGAGUCUGAGAGACUUUCUAAAAUAUGUGAUCUUUAACUAUUCAAAUCUUAGAGAAAUUCUUUCCUCUUCUGUUCUCUUUAGUCAUGUGUCCCUUCAGGCGCACCGUAUGGAGAAGCUGGCUGCCUACAUAGGCCAUGAAAAGGGUUUCUGGAGAUGCUGUCAUAGUUGCUGAAUUGACUAUCAGAUCACAGAGGCAUCAA